GCUGACAAACCAACCAAAUAUACAUACAAGGCCUGUAAGCCUAACAUACUGCACUAACUUACAGGAUAUGUCUAUAAGCCUCUACUGGUGGAUAUACUGUGAUCGGAACUGCUCCCGACCUACUCAUAACAUAUAUACAUAUAUAUACAAGAUGUACAUAAGUCUCUAGACCCGGCAAAUCUGAAACGCAUGGAGCUUACCGAUCAAGCUAAACUCGGGAAACACUUAAUGAGGAGGUCUAACCAUCUGUCUGCCUGAACCUGCACGCAUGAAAUGCAAUGCCACCAAAAAAGGGACGUCAAUGCAAAAUAAUGUACCGAGUAUGUAAGGUAAUAUACUGAAAGCUGAAACUGAACUAAUAAUAUAAUAACUGCAAGUAACAGAAAGCCAAAGAUAAUCUGAAGAUAUGCUUACCUGCUUAUACUGACUUAACUCUCUCAAUAUAGUAAGUAAAAUAGUUGUUCGGCCCUGUAAGGCUCGGUAUAUAUAUAUAAUUGCUCUACCGUAGUAGUCUAGCUCAUAGGCACUCGGCCAUACUAGGCUCUAUAUCUCGGCCAACUAGACUCGCUCAUAGGAGAUCGACCACUAUACCCUCGGUGUAUAACUUACCAUCUGAUCAGAGGUUUCCCAAUAAGAGCUUGCCCAUCGAUUAUAGCUCGAUGAUAAUGAAAUUAUUGUAAUACUAUAUAUAUAGACUCUCUGCUCUCUUGACAAGAAAAAGGAAAUACUCAAAUGAGUAUGAAGUCCCGAUAAGGAGAAUAUUGUAACUUACAAAACUAGAAAAAUAUACGUAAAUUCUGGGAUAUGAAUUUUUCUUUGUGCUUCAUUAUCAAACUUGUGUAAUUACGAGAUCAUGCCUAAAUAAAAUAAGAGCUUAGCCUUAAUAUAAUUGAGCCGAUUCUCUUGACAAUCCUUCCCACACACGUCAAUUGCGACAACACAUAACGACGGAUUGAAGUAGGGGAAUAUUCGUCUGUAACAUUUGGCUUCUUGAUACACUCUUUAACUCCAAAGAAUCGAAGAAGGAAGCUAGCAAAGAGAUGGGAGGAACCUUUGAAUCACGUCGAAGCAGAAAGGCAAAGGAAAGAGAAAUUGAACCAAAGGUUCUACGCAUUAAGAGCUUUUGUACCGAGUGUGACAA
rnacentral:lncRNA from 1 species